GAUGGUCUCUGCUUUGACGAAUCGCCUUAGCAGCAUCCUACACGCUCAGAAAGUUGAAGGGGGUAGUUCAAGCAGUCAUCAUCACCAGCAUCAUCAGGAAGAGGAUCAAGAGCAUGAAGGUGCAAGAAUCAUUACACUGGCUGGAAACAAUGUAGGUGCCACCAUGCGCAGGGAAAUGGAUGAGAAAACUGCUGAUCUGCCGGAAGAAUUGCCAAUGGGAGAGCAGGAAGCAUUGAGUACCUAUGUGAACAGCAACUUCCAGGCCGUCAACAAUUCCAUCAUGAUGGGCGGUAGCUAUUCAACUAACGAUCCAGGAGUUCACUUGAACAUUACAGAUUACAUGGAAGACUGGACUCCUUCCAAGUCCAAACACAAGGUAGGUUCCAAGCAUGAUGGAAAGAAGGAAAAGAAGAAACAAAAGGCAAGCCAAAGUGACCAACAAACAGAGAAAUCUGAAUAAAUCGUUUGAAGUUGGAAAAAGCUAUACUCUAAAAUGUUAAUCUUGGAGUACUAUGUCUGUUUCCUGUCUAUUUCUUAGAAGCAAUAAACACACAUCCCAUUAAGGGCAAUAAACAUGUACACUUUUUUCGUAUCUAUGGGUCUUUUUCAUUGCAGUGAUCUACUACAAAUAGGAAUGAUCAGAGCUAGUGUAUUGUGUAGCACUCCAAGAUGUAUUUAUGUAACGAGAGAUCCUUCAUAUAUAGUGCUAAAAAACCAGUUAUGAGUUUGAUUUCCAUCCUUACCAUUUCAAGACAAAAUUCAUAGUUAACUUAAAGUUGAACAAAUAGCAUGCAUAUAAUUAACAUAAAGCAAAUCCAGUACUCUUCCAUUGCGCAAUGAGGAACAAUCCUAAUUUCAGACUUUUGCUGCGCGAAUGAGUUUGAUGGUUUUCAGGCCUGUAAAAAUCAACGUGCAAUUUCCA
rnacentral:lncRNA from 1 species